rnacentral:misc_RNA from 1 species
AGAAGAGAGAAAGAAUCUGCCUCAGCGUGGCUGAUCGAGCAGUUAUAAUUAAAAGGCACUGUUAAUUAAUUAAUUAAUCAAUCAAUCGAAAGGCUAAUUAUUUGCUGCAACAAUCUGUAACUCGAUCUACUGAAGGAAAAAAAAAACUUCUUGUCCUUGAUAUGCAUGAUGUAUAGAUAAAAUUAUUUCUGCUCUUUGGGAAUUG